rnacentral:rRNA from 1 species
GGCGGCUGUAGCGCGGUGGUCCCACCUGACCCCAUGCCGAACUCAGAAGUGAAACGCCGUAGCGCCGAUGGUAGUGUGGGGCCUCCCCAUGCGAGAGUAGGGAACUGCCAGAC